GUCUAGGACCAUACCACUCUGAACACACCAGAUCUCACCCAAUCCCGGAAGCUAAGCAGGGUUAACCUGGUUGGUACUUGGAUGGUAGAAAGCUGACACAGAAAGAGGGUGGCUCCUGCCA
ensembl:rRNA 5S_rRNA 5S ribosomal RNA